CUACGGGAGGCAGCAGUAGGGAAUCUUCCACAAUGGACGAAAGUCUGAUGGAGCAACGCCGCGUGAGUGAUGAAGGUUUUCGGAUCGUAAAACUCUGUUGUUAAAGAAGAACAAGUGUUAGAGUAACUGUUAACACUUUGACGGUAUUUAACCAGAAAGCCACGGCUAACUACGUGCCAGCAGCCGCGGUAAUACGUAGGUGGCAAGCGUUGUCCGGAUUUAUUGGGCGUAAAGCGAGCGCAGGCGGUUUUGUAAGUCUGCUGUGAAAGCCCUCAGCUCAACUGAGGAAGUGCAGUGGAAACUACAAAACUUGAGUACAGAAGAGGAAAGUGGAACUCCAUGUGUAGCGGUGAAAUGCGUAGAUAUAUGGAAGAACACCAGUGGCGAANGCGGCUUUCUGGUCUGUUACUGACCCUGAGGCUCGAAAGCAUGGGUAGCGAACAGGAUUAGAUACCCUGGUAGUCCAUGCCGUAAACGAUGAAUACUANGUGUUGGANGGUUUCCCCCCUUCAGUGCCGCAGCUAACGCAUUUAANUUUCCGCCUGGGGAGUACNACCCCCAGGUUAAAACUCAAAGGAAUUGACNGGGGNCCNCCCAAGUGGUG
rnacentral:rRNA from 2 species